AUCGAACUGCUCAAAUCGUAUAAGACGUUCGUUAUUCUUCUUAUUUUUCACAAAGUAGUUCCCACUAUAACGAUAGUCAUUGGUCAACGAAGCAUCCUUUGACAAUGAAAUUACAGGGCAUUUUAAUCGUUAUAUGUUUCUUGAUCACACAGUUAUUGACAAAUAUUUCAUCAGGGAAUCCGCUGGAAACUCUAGUUCGAAGAAAUAAACCUAAUAGUCAUUCGCUCGAGGAAUUUGAGAAGACAUGUGAAAUGUGUGGACAACUGUACGGAUACGAUACAACCUACGACUGUAUGACGGAUCCUUCCAACAAAGUUUUCCGUCUAUGUUUGAGGGCAGUAGGGAGAAAAUAACUCAUUUCCGAAAAAAUAAUGAUUAAAUGAAAAUGUAAAAAGUGAACAGUUUUUUUACUGACUAGUAUGUGUACAUCUGCUGGUGUAUAAAAAGUAAAACUUUUAUUUACUCAAUUUGUUUGUGAGGUAUCUAUUUUUAAUACAUGUAUAUUCGGACAAUACUUCUUAUACAAUGUUAUAUAUUCAUAUAUACGACGUAACAAACAUUUUGUUGCUAAACUUUCACAAAAUAAAGAUAAAGUUGA